rnacentral:rRNA from 1 species
GUAGGUGGCAAGCGUUGUCCGGAAUUAUUGGGCGUAAAGCGCGCGCAGGCGGUUCUUUAAGUCUGAUGUGAAAGCCCACGGCUCAACCGUGGAGGGUCAUUGGAAACUGGAGAACUUGAGUACAGAAGAGGAAAGCGGAAUUCCACGUGUAGCGGUGAAAUGCGUAGAGAUGUGGAGGAACACCAGUGGCGAAGGCGGCUUUCUGGUCUGUAACUGACGCUGAGGCGCGAAAGCGUGGGGAGCAAACAGGAUUAGAUACCCUGGUAGUCCACGCCGUAAACGAUGAGUGCUAAGUGUUAGGGGGUUUCCGCCCCCCUUAGUGCUGCAGCUAACGCAUUAAGCAUCCGCCUGGGAUACGGCCGCAAGGCUG